AAAACAAGCCAACAUGCUUAAUUACAUUUUAAACAGAACAUUUUCAAACGAAUCAAAAAUACGGCACCUUUAACAUUUUAGCAAUAGUUUAGUGUUUUAUCUAAAAUCAGAAGGGACCGAAAUAACGGCGAUUAAACGUGACCCGUAUCAAAUACACUUUUCAUUUCAGCGGACUUUUAUUUUGGCGACUUUAUUUUGGCAGUCUACUUCCUGUUCGGCUGCCGCACUUUCCCCUUCCUUUAGGUACACGCGCUUUUCUUCCCCUCACUCUCAGCUGCGGCUGAUGUGUUUUGUCUGUAAAAACUCUCAACAAAGCUCUGGAAUUUCUAAAUAACGGCGUAUUUCAACUGUCCUGUUAAGGUCAGAUUUCCCACGGACUGAUUCUGUGAUUUGAAAAACAACCUCAACUCAACAAACUUCCAGAUAAUGAGCUAAGAGUCUGUGCGGUGGGACAGACUAUUUGUUUUGUUUUAUUGGACCUGGGAUUUGUACAAACUGUCUUCAAACUGUAGUUUAUAAUAAAACAACUGAAAAUUAA